rnacentral:rRNA from 1 species
CCUACGGGGGGCAGCAGUGGGGAAUAUUGGACAAUGGGCGGAAGCCUGAUCCAGCCAUGCCGCGUGUGUGAAGAAGGCCUUCGGGUUGUAAAGCACUUUCAGUGGGGAAGAAAGCCUUGGGGCUAAUACCCUCGAGGAAGGACAUCACCCACAGAAGAAGCACCGGCUAACUCCGUGCCAGCAGCCGCGGUAAUACGGAGGGUACGAGCGUUAAUCGGAAUUACUGGGCGUAAAGCGCGCGUAGGCGGUCUGAUAAGCCGGUUGUGAAAGCCCCGGGCUCAACCUGGGAACGGCAUCCGGAACUGUCAGGCUAGAGUGCAGGAGAGGAAGGUAGAAUUCCCGGUGUAGCGGUGAAAUGCGUAGAGAUCGGGAGGAAUACCAGUGGCGAAGGCGGCCUUCUGGACUGACACUGACGCUGAGGUGCGAAAGCGUGGGUAGCAAACAGGAUUAGAUACCCCAGUAGUC